GUUUCACAGUCAAAGAAACGACCUGCAGUUUAAAUAGUUCGUGCAAACGGAAAGAAAACGUCCAAAUUAGCUACUCAUCUUUCCCUUUCUGAAAAGAACAAGUCCAUAAGCAUAUUUCAAGAAAGUCAUUAGGGUAUAUUCCAAUUUCUUUUCUUUAACUUUUGAAAGCAAAGUGGGGUUCAGAAACAGAUGCUGCAGAGACCUAAUAUACAUAUGUGUUGGAAAAACAUAUAUAUGUUAAUUUAUAUUAAGGUCGAAUCUUAUUGGAAUGACCCACUUCAAGCAAGUCUUAAUCACCCUUGCUAGGUGUCCAAAAAUAACUAGAAGUUUUUCCAGUGAAAAAGACACCCACGUUCUUUAUCUAUCGCAAUUGCCAACUAUUCUUUAGUGGGAAAUAAUAAAGUAAUUUUGUUUUUUAAACAUCUAAAUGAGUUGUUUUCGAAUACAUUUACUAACAUUUUGAAAGAAAAUCACCAUAUACUAGAUAAAUAGAUUAUUUCACGCAUGCUAUAAAAAAAAUUAUUAUGUCAAUAUAAUCGCAUUAUAUAAUAGAUUUAAAUUCAAUUUUUAAAAAUUUUCAUGAAUUGUUUAUUACUAAUGUCUAAUGAUGAAUAUAAA
rnacentral:misc_RNA from 1 species